CGAAUCCGUUAGAAAAUGUGAACAAAGGGCUUUGCUUUUCUCUGCGUAAAUUGGUCUGACCGAUCUCAGUCUCAGCAGCUAAGCAGCAACGGGCCCGACCGGUUCACACAUUUGCUGGUUUGUUAUUUUUGGGGGGGGGGAGAGGAAAUAUACGAGUUAAAACGGAUAGCCUUUUGGGAGGGAGAGAGAGGGAUGAAAGGUGUAGAAGGGCCAUUGCUGUGCAUAGGGGAUUUGCUAAGCGAUCUUGGAGAGAAAGAAGCAGAUGCUGUUAGAACAGCUGAUCAUCACCUAACCUACAAAUAAGCAGGUUCACCUUCAUUUUCAAUUACUUAUUCUGGCGAUACCUUUAAUCCUCCUUGGAUCUUACCAAGCUCUUCCAGGUUUGUAUACAUGCACACACUUUUGGAUUUCAUCAGUCGUUGUUCCUGCUCUUAAUUUAUUAUCAUUUUCCCUUUAUUUUUGAAUUAUUCUUGAAUUUUACCUUUUCUUGGUAGUCUUUCGUUAAAUUGAAGCUGUGAAUGUAACGCUCCUGCGAGAAUUGGCCCUAAGAAAUCACUGUUUUAUUUGACUUAAUCUGAUCUUGUCUUCAAUUGGUAUUAGAUGUCCUCAAUUGAGGUCUUUGUUCAUUCUGUUUUUCAAAUUCAAACAAUUUACAUAACUUAAGUAGAUGAUAGUGAGUAUUAAUUGCGUAGGUUUAGUUUCAGAAAUUAGAGCAUAGGGAUUAAUAAUUUGCCACCUCCAGUGCAAUGUCUUCGUGGGCUAGCAAACAAUAGGAUGCAGAAUUGGGACUGGACUUGAAAAUAGUCACACUUCAUGGUAAAAUGCUAGAGGACGGGACUAACUCCAACUUUUCCCUUCCAAUACUCUAGUUUGGUGGUUGGUCUUGGGCAUUCACCCUUUUGGAUACUGUUAUGCAAAGUAAUUCAUCUCAAAUUUACGUUUGGGCUAACUCAGGUCUGCUUGCAAUUGGAUCAGCCUAGGGUGCAUCUGAUCAAAGAUCAGCAAACUAACUUUUUCUAUCUUGCUUCAGGAAAAUUACAGCCACUUGAAUAAGGCACUUAACAGGACAGAUCACUCCUGGAAAACUCUUACUCUAAAGGUAUUCUGGAUCAAUGUUUAAGAGUAUGCAUGAUAUGUAGAGUAAUUCUACAUCAGUAUUUAGCUUGGUAAGCAUUUUCUUGGACAUUGUAUUUGCAUGUCUUACCAUCAUCGUUAGUGGAGUAUGAGUAUACAAUGCAAAUUAUUGUACGAUCCCCAAUAUAUUUGUAAUUCAUACAAAGAUUGUAUGUGAUUCUAUGUGCAAGCCUAGAUAGUUUGAAAUUUUGCAUGGUACUUUGCUGAUGCAUUAUUUAUAUGCUCAAUCUGUAACCUUGUUGCUCUUUGUUUUUGUAAUAUUCCAUUUAUGCACUGCUCUGGAAACUGCAAAUGAGCUGGUCCAGUCGACUAACUCAAAUGUCAGGUUCCUGUCUGAGAACGUUGGAGAGCUUGAGAAAUUUGUCAAGAGAGAAAAUUCUGCUGUUGCAGCAGCCAAAAGGGAGGUUUACUUAUUGGCAGUAGAAAUGUCCAGUAGUUUUGGUCUCCUUUGAACAUCGCUGGUAAAGUGCAUUUGUUGGAAUUCUUUUUUCUGUUUCUAUUUUUUUUUUUCUUUCUUAUAUAUGUUUUUGUUCUUGUCCCCCUGGUAAAUUAUCUACAAUAGAUUAAAGAUGCAGAUUUUAAGUAAUACAUUGGGUGGAACUUUUUCUGCUAAAUGCUAAUGAUUUCUUUAAACUACCCUGAUAAUAUAUUGUUAAAGACUAAAUCAAUGGUAAGUUCUUUGCUUAAGAUGUGGCAUCAUCUGAGAAUGGUGCUAUGUAUAUAUGCUUAUGGAGUCCAUUGUAUAAACAAGGAAGGCUUUGAUGUACCAAAACUUCCCCGAAUGAGGCCCUUCUACACUGGCGUUCUUAAUCUGCAUGGCAUUUUGUUUUUCUGGAUCUAAGCCCAAGUCAUUAAUGAGGUGAGCAGCAGGAGUGCAGGACUAACAAAGGACUACACAUGGAGCCUUCAGCGUUACUUCUUUCCAAGCAUGAAAGCUAAGCUUAAAGCCUGUCUCGUAAGAGCUAUGGGGUUAUCCACUGAAUGUGAAAUGAGAGGAAAAAAAAAAAAAAAAGCUUUUACAAAAUAAAUUACAUGAUUAGUAGAAAGAAAUGGACUAUCACCAGAGAAAGGAAGACUCCUGGAAGGAAAAAAGACAAGUAAAAUUUAUCUGGAGGUGAUCCUACAUUGAAUUAUCAUAUACAAAACUGAAUAUAGUUUAUAGUUUACUUCUGGAUGGAUUUUUUUGGGAAUGAGUAUUUGAAUCUAACUCUGUCAGAUGAGUAAUUUAUCUUUAGUUACUGAAUCAAGUUAGGUUAGGCGGAUAGAUAUAUUUCCCACUUUAAUGUAUUGCACUUUCGUAUUUAGGGAUUAAUUUAGGCUUGAUUAGCUACCUUUCAAUGAG
rnacentral:misc_RNA from 1 species